AGAGUUUGAUCCUGGCUCAGGACGAACGUUGGCGGCACGCCUAAUGCAUGCAAGUCGAACGAAAUCCCACCGCUUGCGGUGGUGUAUUUAGUGGCAGACGGCUGAGUAACGCGUAACUAAUCUGCCUUUGGGAGGGGAAUAACAAAGGGAAACCUUUGCUAAUACCCCGUACGAUCUAUAUUUUACUUUUUAUAGAUGAAAGGUGUCUUUGGCAUCGCCCUUAGAUGAGGUUGCGUACUAUCAGGUAGUUGGUGGGGUAAUGGCCUACCAAGCCUAAGACGGUUAGCUGGUGUGAGAGCACGACCAGCCAGAGGGGGACUGAGACACGGCCCCCACUCCUACGGGAGGCAGCAGCAGGGAAUCUUCCGCAAUGGGCGAAAGCCUGACGGAGCGAUGCCGCGUGAGGGAUGAAGGUUUUUGGAUCGUAAACCUCUUUUCUUGGGGAAGAGCAAGGACGGUACCCAAGGAAUAAGUCACGGCUAACUACGUGCCAGCAGCCGCGGUAAUACGUAGGUGACGAACGUUGUCCGGAAUUAUUGGGCGUAAAGGGUCCGUAGGCCGUUUAGUCAGUCUCCUGUGAAAUCUCUAGGCUCAACCUAGAGAGGUCGGGAGAUACUGCUAAACUUGAGAUUGUCAGAGGCAAGUGGAAUUCCCGGUGUAGUGGUGAAAUGCGUAGAUAUCGGGAGGAACAUCAAUGGCGAAAGCAGCUUGCUGGGGCAUUUCUGACGCUGAGGGACGAAAGCGUGGGUAGCAAACCGGAUUAGAUACCCGGGUAGUCCACGCCCUAAACGAUGAAUGCUAGGUUUGCGGGGUAUCGACCCCUUGUGAGCCGAAGCUAACGCGAUAAGCAUUCCGCCUGGGGACUACGGCCGCAAGGCUAAAACUCAAAGGAAUUGACGGG
rnacentral:rRNA from 1 species